rnacentral:tRNA from 1 species
GGAGGAAUAACUCAGUGGUUAGAGUGUUGGUUUGUCAUACCAAAAGUCGUGGGUUCAAAUCCCAUUUCCUUCG